UGCCUCAGCCUGGGACUACAGGCACCCACCACCAAGCCCGGCUCAUUUUUUUGUAUUUUUAGUAGAGACGGGGUUUCACUGUGUUAGCCAGGAUGGUCUUGAUCUCCUGACCUCGUGAUACGCCUGCCUCGGCCUCCCAAAGUGCUGGGAUUACAGGGGUGAGCCACCGCACCUGGCCUAAAAUAUAUUUUCUAGAGUGGGAUUAGCUGUCAACAAACUCAGUAGUCACAUGGCUCAUGUGUUAUCUGUGUACAGUUGUGAAAAACAACCAGUAAUUUAGAGAUAUAUGUGUAUUUGAAAAUAUUAUUCAGAUGAAAUACUAAAUUUUUCAUUAUUCUGAUAAUCACCAUUCUCAGAGACUGCUGACAGGGUUACUAUUGACCUGAUAGCACAUGUCUACCUCUGUGAUCCUAAAGAGUAGGCCUAAGUGGGCUUUUCCUGAAAAAGGCAGAAUGUUUUAGUUGGAAUUUCGUUCUUGUUCUUGUUUGAAAGUAUUACAAGUUGGAUUACAGUGUAAUCAAGUUUAAUCUUUUGAAAUUGACAGCUGUCUGUGGUUCAUGAGAAAAAAUCCCAAGAAGGAAAGCCAAAAGAACACACAGAGCCAAAAAGCCUACCCAAGCAGGCAUCAGAUACAGGAAGUAAGGAUGCUCUCAAUAAAAAAGCAGUUUCCAGAUCAGCUGAACAGCAGCCAUC
rnacentral:sRNA from 1 species